AGCAGCGUGGCUCAGUGGAAAGAGCAUGGGCCUGGGAGUCAGAGGUCAUGGGUUCGAAUCCCGGCUCUGCCG
rnacentral:tRNA from 1 species